rnacentral:lncRNA from 1 species
GGUCCUGAUUAGAUAAUUAUUUUUGUAUGAGAAAAAAGGUUUGAUUAACCCUUUUUAUUAAGUCACGGUCCUGUUUUUAGUCUUGUCGAGUCCGGUCUGAAGCAGUUUAGCAAGAAUUAAAUUUAAAUGACAUUGGGCUCGAGAACAAGUUCAAGCAAAUCAACGAUCAUGACCCACCUCAAAUCCAAAGCCAAUUCCCAACCAAUUCCUUACCU